rnacentral:rRNA from 1 species
AGAGUUUGAUCCUGGCUCAGAACGAACGCUGGCGGCGUGGAUAAGACAUGCAAGUCGAACGGAUUCAUAUGAGAUUAUAUCAAGUGUGGGUCAGUGGCGGACGGGUGCGUAACACGUGAACAAUCUGCCGGAAGGAAGGGGAUAGCCCAUGGAAACGUGGAUUAAUACCCUGUGUGGUUCCGAGAGGCAUCUCUCGGCAACUAAACGUGGCGCAAGCUGCGGCCUUCCGAUGAGCUCGCGGCCUAUCAGCUUGUUGGCGGGGUAACGGCCCACCAAGGCGAUGACGGGUAGCUGGUCUGAGAGGAUGACCAGCCACACUGGAACUGAGACACGGUCCAGACACCUACGGGUGGCAGCAGUCGAGAAUCAUUCACAAUGGGCGAAAGCCUGAUGGUGUGACGCCGCGUGGAGGAUGACGGUCUUCGGAUUGUAAACUCCUGUCAUGUGAGAGUAAGAUUCAGGGAGUAACUGCCUGUGAAUUUGAGAGUAUCACAAGAGGAAGAGGCGGCUAACUCUGUGCCAGCAGCCGCGGUAAUACAGAGGCCUCAAGCGUUGUUCG